CGGAUUGAGUCUGNAACCCGACUCCAUGAAGCUGGAUUCGCUAGUAAUCGCGCAUCAGCCACGGCGCGGUGAAUACGUUCCCGGGCCCUUGUACACACCGCCCGUCAAGCCAUGGAAGCCGGGAGUGCCUGAAGUGCGUGACCGCAAGGAGCGUCCUAAGGCAAUACCGGUGACUGGGGCUAAGUCGUAACAAGGUAGC
rnacentral:rRNA from 1 species